rnacentral:rRNA from 1 species
CCUACGGGAGGCAGCAGUGGGGAAUAUUGGACAAUGGGGGGAACCCUGAUCCAGCCAUGCCGCGUGUGUGAAGAAGGCCCUCGGGUUGUAAAGCACUUUCAGUGAGGAAGAACGCCUGGUGGUUAAUACCCAUCAGGAAAGACAUCACUCACAGAAGAAGCACCGGCUAACUCCGUGCCAGCAGCCGCGGUAAUACGGAGGGUGCGAGCGUUAAUCGGAAUUACUGGGCGUAAAGCGCGCGUAGGUGGCUUGAUAAGCCGGUUGAAAGCCCCGGGCUCAACCUGGGAACGGCAUCCGGAACUGUCAAGCUAGAGUGCAGGAGAGGAAGGUAGAAUUCCCGGUGUAGCGGUGAAAUGCGUAGAGAUCGGGAGGAAUACCAAUGGCGAAGGCGGCCUUCUGGACUGACACUGACACUGAGGUGCGAAAGCGUGGGUAGCAAACAGGAUUAGAUACCCUGGUAGUC